rnacentral:lncRNA from 12 species
CGAGGCUGUUCUGCAGCCAUUUUACAGCUCCCUCUAAAAAGCACAGAACUUGCUUGGCCUUUUCCAGAGGAUCAUGAGGAGGAAUUAAACAGAGGGCCCUAAGGUCCUGACGGUCCCUUCCCGGGGAACUUGUUCAUCCCCUGAGCUCCGGAAGACGCUCAUACGGACGUCCUAUACCUAUCCUGAUCGCUGCAUUUACCGUGCUGUCCCUUAGC